UACGGAGGGUGCGAGCGUUGUCCGGAUUUAUUGGGUUUAAAGGGUGCGUAGGCGGGAUAAUAAGUCAGUGGUGAAAUUCAGCUGCUCAACAGUUGGCGUGCCAUUGAAACUGUUAUUCUUGAAUUGAUUGGAGGCUGCCGGAACGGAUGGUGUAGCGGUGAAAUGCAUAGAUAUCAUCCAGAACACCUAUUGCGAAGGCAGGUGGCUACGAUCAGAUUGACGCUGAUGCACGAAAGCAUGGGUAGCAAAC
rnacentral:rRNA from 1 species